GAUGCAGCAACGCCGCGUGAGGGACGACGGCCUUCAGGGUUGUAAACCUCUUUUAGUAGGGAAGAAGCGAAAGUGACGGUACCUGCAGAAAAAGCACCGGCUAACUACGUGCCAGCAGCCGCGGUAAUACGUAGGGUGCAAGCGUUGUCCGGAAUUAUUGGGCGUAAAGAGCUCGUAGGCGGUUUGUCGCGUCUGCUGUGAAAACCCGAGGCUCAACCUCGGGCCUGCAGUGGGUACGGGCAGACUAGAGUGCGGUAGGGGAGAUUGGAAUUCCUGGUGUAGCGGUGGAAUGCGCAGAUAUCAGGAGGAACACCGAUGGCGAAGGCAGAUCUCUGGGCCGUAACUGACGCUGAGGAGCGAAAGCAUGGGGAGCGAACAGGAUUAGAUACCCUGGUAGUCCAUGCCGUAAACGUUGGGAACUAGAUGUAGGGGCCAUUCCACGGUUUCUGUGUCGCAGCUAACGCAUUAAGUUCC
rnacentral:rRNA from 1 species